rnacentral:lncRNA from 1 species
GCAAGAAGAUAAUUAAUAUAUAGUUUUAAUUUUGUACAGUUCUCUACAAAAAUAAUGAAUUACAAAUAUAUUCAUACAAAAUUUAACUUUUAUAUAUUGUUCCUACAAAAGUUCUAAUAUUUUCAAAUAUUUUUCUUUGGUUUGUUACUGUUAAAGUAUUAUUUAUUUUAUAAGUAAAAGGACCUUUUUGUCGUCACAAAUAUAUUCCUCUAAAAACUUCAACUGUUAAUUAAAGAGAAAUAAAAAGAUCAAUUCAUCUUAUUAACUAACUAGGGUUAAGUAUUUUAUCUAUGAUUAACUAAUUUUUUUUAACAGAUCCUAACGGUAGGGAUAUAGUUGAAAACCUAUAUGAAGACUUUUAUAGGGACAACAUAUGAACGUUGAACUUUAUAGGAAUAUAUUUGUAAUUCACUAUGUUUGGAAGGACCUGUAUGAAAUUAACCCUAAUAUAUAAUAUUGCAACAAUACUAUUUCAAUUUA